ensembl:miRNA mdo-mir-7254 mdo-mir-7254
UCACCACCUCCUUGAAUCCUGUUCUAAUGUGAGUGAUGCAGAGUUCAGGGUGGAUGUGGCC